UGGGGAAUUUUGCACAAUGGGGGAAACCCUGAUGCAGCGACGCCGCGUGAUUUAGAAGGCCUUCGGGUUGUAAAAAUCUUUUCUAUGGGAAGAAAAUGACAGUACCAUAGGAAUAAGGACCGGCUAAUUACGUGCCAGCAGCCGCGGUAAUACGUAAGGUCCGAGCGUUGUCCGGAAUCAUUGGGCGUAAAGGGUAUGUAGGCGGGUAAGCAAGUUAGAAGUGAAAUCCUAUAGCUCAACUAUAGUAAGCUUUUAAAACUGCUCAUCUUGAGGUAUGGAAGGGAAAGUGGAAUUCCUAGUGUAGCGGUGAAAUGCGCAGAUAUUAGGAGGAAUACCGGUGGCGAAGGCGACUUUCUGGCCAUAACCUGACGCUGAGGUACGAAAGCGUGGGUAGCAAACAGG
rnacentral:rRNA from 1 species